rnacentral:rRNA from 1 species
UACGUAGGGCGCAAGCGUUGUCCGGAAUCAUUGGGCGUAAAGAGCUCGUAGGUGGUCUGUUACGUCUGCUGUGAAAUCCUAGGGCUUAACCCUGGGCCUGCAGUGGAUACGGGCAGACUAGAGGUAGGUAGGGGAGAAUGGAAUUCCCGGUGUAGUGGUGAAAUGCGUAGAUAUCGGGAGGAACACCAGUGGCGAAGGCGACUUUCUGGCCUGUUCUUGACGCUGAGGCGCGAAAGCUAGGGGAGCAAACGGG